rnacentral:sRNA from 1 species
UCAAGCAAUUCUCCUGCCUCAGUCUCCUGAGUAGCUGGGAUUACAGGUGCCCACCACCACACCCGGCUAAUUUUUGUAUUUUUAGUAGAGAUAGAGUUUUGCCAUGUUGGCCAGCCUGGUCUCGAACUGAGCUCAAGUGAUCAGCCCGCCUCUGCCUCCCAAACUGCUGGGAUUAUAGCAACUUUGACUCUUUGAAUGAAGAUGAUGCUGUGGAGAACAACCAGCUCGCAUUUGAUGUGGCCGAGCGAGAGUUUGGGAUCCCUCCAGUGACCACGGGCAAAGAGAUGGCAUCUGCCCGGGAGCCUGACAAGCUCAGCAUGGUCAUGUACCUCUCCAAGUUCUACGAGCUCUUCCAGGGCACCCCACUGAGGCCCGUGGAUUCUUGGCGCAAAAACUAUGGAGAAAAUGCUGACCUCAGCUUGGCCAAAUCAUCCAUUUCUAAUAACUAUCUC